GACGAACGCUGGCGGCGUGCUUAACACAUGCAAGUCGAGCGGUAAGGCCCUUUCGGGGGUACACGAGCGGCGAACGGGUGAGUAACACGUGGGUGACCUGCCCUCAGCUCUGGGAUAAGCCUGGGAAACCGGGUCUAAUACUGGAUAUGACUCCAUGACGCAUGUUGUGGGGUGGAAAGCCUUGUGCGGCUGAGGAUGGGGCCCGCGGCCUACCAGCUUGUUGGUGGGGUGAUGGCCUACCAAGGCGACGACGGGUAGCCGGCCUGAGAGGGCGACCGGCCACACUGGGACUGAGACACGGCCCAGACUCCUACGGGAGGCAGCAGUGGGGAAUCUUGCGCAAUGGGCGAAAGCCUGACGCAGCGACGCCGCGUGAGGGAUGACGGCCU
rnacentral:rRNA from 1 species